rnacentral:tRNA from 1 species
CGCUUAGCUCAGUUGGUUAGAGCAUCUGCCUUACAAGCAGAGGGUCGUAGGUUCGAGUCCUAUAGCGUCC